rnacentral:rRNA from 1 species
UACAGAGGGUGCAAGCGUUGUUCGGAAUUAUUGGGCGUAAAGGGCGCGUAGGCGGUGCCACAAGUCACCUGUGAAAUCUCCGGGCUUAACUCGGACCUGCAGGCGAAACUGUGGUGCUGGAGUGUGGGAGAGGUGCGUGGAAUUCCCGGUGUAGCGGUGAAAUGCGUAGAUAUCGGGAGGAACCCCAGAGGCGAAGGCGGCGCCCUGGCUCGCAACUG